UGCUGGUGACAUCCAAGUGUAUAUCUUUCCAGUCCGACUCCUCUUUGAGCUCCAGAUUCAACAUACCUGGUCACAUCUAGACUUGGAUUUUUUUUUUUUGAAAUGAGGUCUUGCUCUGUCACCAUGGCUGGAGUGCAGUGGCGUGAUCAUAGCUUGCUGCAGCCUCAACCUCCCAGGCUCAAGCCAUCCUCCCACCUCAACCUCCCAAGUAGCUGGGACUACAGGCAUUUACCACUACAGCCAGCUAAUUUUUAAAUGUUUUUUUGUAGAGAUGAGGUCCCACUAUGAUGCCCAGGCUGGUCUCAAAUUCUUGGACUAUGUGAU
rnacentral:lncRNA from 1 species